UACGUAGGGUGCAAGCGUUGUCCGGAAUCAUUGGGCGUAAAGAGCGUGUAGGCGGCCCGGUAAGUCCGCUGUAAAAGUCCAGGGCUCAACCCUGGAAAGCCGGUGGAUACUGCUGGGCUAGAGUCCGGAAGGGGCGAGUAGAAUUCCUGGUGUAGCGGUGAAAUGCGCAGAUAUCAGGAGGAACACCAAUGGCGAAGGCAGCUCGCUGGGACGGUACUGACGCUGAGACGCGAAAGCGUGGGGAGCAAACAGG
rnacentral:rRNA from 1 species